GUUUGUGUUUUCAUAAAAUUUCGUCUUUUGCCCUGGCUUUGAUUCUCUUCAACUGGCAAGGUCUGAAUGACAGUACUGUGUGUCUCUUUUUCAUUUUACUCCUUUUCUUUUAAUACUGGACAGUUUAAAAAUAUUUACAACAUCUUACAUAGUCUACCAAUUCCUUUAAAUAUUCACUCAUUCAAUAAAGAACAGCAGGUAAACCAAUUAGGUGUUUAUUU
rnacentral:lncRNA from 1 species